GCCGUAGAAUGUUGCUCUCUCACCCUUAAAGAGAGCCAUGUAGGAAAACCUAGCAGCCUCAUAAUAAUCAACUUUAAUUUUUUUAAAUUUGUAUUUAUUUCACCUUUAUUUAAGUAGGCAAGUCAGUUAAGAACAAAGUCUUAUUUACAAUGACAGCCUGGAUAUAAUAACUUUACGAGGCAAAGUGUCUAGGAUCAGGUCCACCAUGUUAUUAAUUAGGACGUUAAGGGGCAACACUGAUCCUAGAUCAGCACAAUAACUCUGAGACACUUUGUGAAUACAGGCUCUGAUUAAGUUCUAGAUUCCCCUAGAUGUAUUUUUCUUUUUUUUCUGGUCCUUUGGUUUUGGCUAGAUGGGGUACAGCUACGGACAGAAGUGACUUUAGCUCAAAUUCUACAGUUGUCCCCGAAGCGACUGGACCAUGCAACUUUUGGUCAGUCGUUGUACUCCAUCUAGCCAAAACUGCACCGCCCUAUGGGACUCCCAAUAAUGGCCUGUGGUGAUACAGCUUGGAUAGAAUAUCUUUUAAGAGGCAGAUUCUUGUGAAUUUGUAAAUCUCUCUAUUUUGGCUAUUAUAGGAGGCUGAGAACAUUUGUCCAACAUGAUCUUUCUUAAAUGUCCGAUGUUCCAAAUCUGUGAAAUGGUUCUCUUGGAGAAUCGCUUUAGGCACCUUUUUCUUCUUUAGAAAUGAAAUAAUGUUUGUUUUUUAACAGGAGAAAGCCUCCCUUUUAUGUUUGAAGAUAAUACCAUCUAGAUAUGAAAUGAUUUAAUACAUAUUGAAGUCUAUAUUCCCCUUUUAUUUUAUCCAUCUGAUAGGAGUAUGUACUCUUCACCAACAUUUCCAGAGAUAUGUACUAUAUAUUGUUGAAUUGUCUUAAUACAAACACUACAAUUACAACAUAAAAUACACAAAAAAAGAGAAAUACAAACUUCAGUAUGUGGUGAAAGAAAGGGAGACUAUAGCUUACAUUAGGUGAUAAAUUGCUUCGUGUUUGUUCUUAAGACGCUGCUCUGGUCCAACUUAACCUCACCCUCUCUUGGUAGACACAAAUGCUAUCGUCUGUCAUUCUAUCUGCUCACGCACAGAGAUCAAACUAUUUCCAUCUUUAUGUGUUCACCUCUCUGGUCGCUCUAGAUUCUCCAUUUACAGUUAACCUUAUAACAGGUUGAUGCUAGGGAGAAUCCUUUGGAUGGCCCAAUCCCACCUAGCAUCAACCUAGCAUCAACCAUAUGGCUAGCUUCCAUAUUAAUGUUAUUGUGUCUUUGAAGGCUAGCCAUAGGCCUAUCAGGGCCAAGUCAUAGCUCACAUAUAUCACUCUGUUUUCUGGUGGGUUUUUCUGUUCUGAGCAAGUACUUCUUCUAGGGCUCAUUUUGUUGUUCUUUUGAUCACUUCUGGGCCGGUUGUCACAAAGCGUCUAGGAUCAGGUCCCCCAUGUUAUUAAUUAGAACGUUAAGGGGCAACACUGAUCCUAGAUCAGCAAUAUUACUCUGAGACACUUUGUGAAUACAGGCUCUGAUUAAGUUCUAGAUUCCCCUAGAUGUAUUUAUUAUUUUGUUCUGGUCUUUUGGUUUUGGCUAGAUGGGGUACAGCUACGGACAGAAGUGACUUUAGCUCACAUUUCUACAGUUGUCCCUGAAGCGACUGGACCAUGCAACUUUUGGUCAGUCGUUGUACUCCAUCUAGCCAAAACCUGGCGUUUUUCUCUCUGUGUCACUCUUCUUACUUGCUGUGCUUCCUGUUUCAGACUCACACUUCCAGGCCUUCACGGGCUGAUCUGAUUGUCCGUUGCCCGUCUGACCCCUGACCUCUGAGCCUGAGGUAAAGCCCAAACAAAACAGUCUCCUCCUCCAUCAUCAGCUCCUCCCACCUCCACUGUUGCAUCAUCCAACCCUUCCUCCCAUCCUGCCCCCCGUCACCCCUAGAACACCACUAAACUCUGGGUCCCACCAGCAGCCCAUCUGUUUACUCUCCAAACCACGACCUACCCUGCGUUUUGCCCUCCAAUACUCCCCGUAGUAGAAGACCUGAGUAGUAGACCUCUGGUUAUCACAAGACAACAUAGAGGAUAUAGAAGAGAACGUACAACUGUUUUUUUUGCUGUGUUUACAGUAGGAUGUAGGGAAGUUAAUAUAACCUAUUCAAUAGUGAGAAUGGGUGAACCUUGGAGAGGGAGGCAAGAUGAAUAGAUUGGGGGUAGAUGUCGGGGUUUGAUUACAGGAUAGCUAGUAGCUAGUUAACCGAGGAUGAACAGGAUAGCUAGUAGCUAGUUAACCGAGGAUGAACAGGAUAGCUAGUAGCUAGUUAACCGAGGAAGAACAGGAUAGCUAGUAACUAGUUAUCCAAGGUUGAACAGGAUAGCUAGUAGCUAGUUAACUGAGGAUGAACAGGAUAGCUAGUAGCUAGUUAACCCAAGAUGAACAGGAUAGCUAGUAGCUAGUUAACUGAGGAUGAACAGGAUAGCUAGUAGCUAGUUAACCCAAGAUGAACAGGAUAGCUAGUAGCUAGUUAACUGAGGAUGAACAGGAUAGCUACGAGCUAGUUAACUGAGGAUGAACAGGAUAGCUAGUAACUAGUUAUCCAAGGUUGAACAGGAUAGCUAGUAGCUAGUUAACUGAGGAUGAACAGGAUAGCUAGUAGCUAGUUAACCCAAGAUGAACAGGAUAGCUACCAGCUAGUUAACUGAGGAUGAACAGGAUAGCUAGUAACUAGUUAACCGAGGAUGAACAGGAUAGCUAGUAACUAGUUAACCGAGGAUGAACAGGAUAGCUAGUAGCUAGUUAACCGAGGAUGAACAGGAUAGCUAGUAGCUAGUUAACCGAGGAUGAACAGGAUAGCUAGUAACUAGUUAUCCCUAGAUGAACAGGAUAGCUAGUAGCUAGUUAACUGAGGAUGAACAGGAUAGCUACGAGCUAGUUAACUGAGGAUGAACAGGAUAGCUACGAGCUAGUUAACUGAGGAUGAACAGGAUAGCUAGUAACUAGUUAUCCCAAGAUGAACAGGAUAGCUAGUAGCUAGUUAACCAAGGUUGAACAGGAUAGCUAGUAGCUAGUUAACCGAGGAUGAACAGGAUAGCUAGUAGCUAGUUAACCGAGGAUGAACAGGAUAGCUAGUAGCUAGUUAACCGAGGAUGAACAGGAUAGCUAGUAGCUAGUUAACCCAAGAUGAACAAGAUAGCUUGUAGCUAGUUAACCUAAGAUGAACAGGAUAGCUACUAGCUAGUUAACUGAGGAUGAACAGGAUAGCUAGUAGCUAGUUAACCCAAGAUGAACAAGAUAGCUAGUAGCUAGUUAACCCAAGAUGAACAGAUUGGGAUAGAUACGUAUAGAUGUAGACUAGAGAGAGGUGUGCUGUAACUCCCAGCAGCCUUUGCUGUGGCUCUAAUGUUGCGUCCAUAUCCGUUUGCUCCCAACAGGUCAAAGGUCAAAUCUCCCAAUGGUGCACCUUGUCUCUCAGCGCGCCCCUUUCAGCUUACUGUUGUCUCUCAGCCCACCCCCCUCUGGCGUACUGUACCAGCUGAUCAACACUUUUCAAAGUUUUAUUUGAAAAAGAAAAGUAAACUGACAAAAACAAAUGUAUGUACUUUGUAUGUGUGAGUGUGUGUGUGUAUAUAGCUAAAUUAAAUAAAGACUCUUUGUAAAGUAUUUUCAACCAUAAGUAACUCAUCCACAUUAAAUAAUUAGCAUUUUAACGUGUCUUAUAAGAGAAGUGUCCUGGAAAGCAUUUUAAACCAUGACUACAUGUUUCAAUACCAUGGGAAUGUAUGAUAAUAAAGUUAUC
ensembl:lncRNA